UACGUAGGUGGCAAGCGUUGUCCGGAUUUACUGGGCGUAAAGAGCGCGCAGGCGGUCGUUCAAGUCGCGUGUGAAAGCCCCCGGCUCAACUGGGGAGGGUCACGCGAUACUGAUCGACUCGAAGGCAGGAGAGGGAAGUGGAAUUCCCGGUGUAGUGGUGAAAUGCGUAGAUAUCAGGAGGAACACCAAUAGCGAAGGCAGCUCGCUGGGACGGUACUGACGCUAAGGCGCGAAAGCGUGGGGAGCAAACAGG
rnacentral:rRNA from 1 species